UACGUAGGGGGCAAGCGUUGUCCGGAUUCAUUGGGCGUAAAGAGCUCGUAGGCGGUUCGGCAAGUCGGGUGUGAAAACUCCAGGCUCAACCUGGAGACGCCACCCGAUACUGCUGUGACUUGAGUCCGGUAGGGGACCACGGAAUUCCUGGUGUAGCGGUGAAAUGCGCAGAUAUCAGGAGGAACACCGGUGGCGAAGGCGGUGGUCUGGGCCGGCACUGACGCUGAGGCGCGAAAGCUAGGGGAGCAAACGGG
rnacentral:rRNA from 1 species